rnacentral:lncRNA from 1 species
CCUCCCAGACAAUUCAUACCUGCUCAAUGGAGAAACAAGAGACAGCCAUAAUCCUUGCGUAAGGUAUAGCUGUUCGAAUGGAAGCCUAUGGACCGAAAGAUGCAGAGAAACACAGGAUCCCCUCUGCAGCAUGUCGGCUGGUGGAAGUGGCGUAUUUCCUGAGUGCUGCCCAGUGAUGCUUUGCCAAUGAAACCAAACAGAAAUCUCUGUGCCAAGUAUAGUUCCAAAAGCACAGUUUUUGCACAAUACAGAAGACUCAUGAGAAAUCCAAACUCCAAACUUUUACAAAAUAGAAUUACUCGCUUUUGGUAUUUCCAAGAGGAAGUUUGCAGCCCUGACAGUAGGCAUAUUUAAAUACCUGGUGCGUGAAACCCAGCCCUCAAUGAAAUAGAAAGGAGAAGACAAGAAAGAUAUAAUUCAAACACCA